rnacentral:siRNA from 1 species
AGAGACUGUGUCUUUGUCUAAUGU